rnacentral:rRNA from 1 species
GUUAUAGCUUGCUAUAAUUGUCAGCUAAGUGGCGCACGGGUGAGUAAUGUAUAGGUAAUAUGCCUCUUACUAAGGGAUAACAAAUGGAAACGUUUGCUAAUACCUUAUACUCCUUAUUAACAUAAGUUAAUAAGGGAAAGAUUUAUUGGUAAGAGAUUAGCCUGUAUUGUAUCAGUUAGUUGGUGGGGUAAUGGCUUACCAAGACUAUGACACAUAACUGGUUUGAGAGGAUGAUCAGUCACACUGGAACUGAGACACGGUCCAGACUCCUACGGGAGGCAGCAGUGGGGAAUAUUGCANCAUGGACGAAAGUCUGAUGCAGCAACGCCGCGUGGAGGAUGACACAUUUCGGUGCGUAGACUCCUUUUAUAUGAGAAGAUAAUGACGGUAUUAUAUGAAUAAGCACCGGCUAACUCCGUGCCAGCAGCCGCGGUAAUACGGGGGGUGCAAGCGUUACUCGGAAUCACUGGGCGUAAAGAGCAUGUAGGCGGAUUAAUAAGUUUGAAGUGAAAUCCUAUAGCUUAACUAUAGAACUGCUUUGAAAACUGUUAAUCUAGAAUGUGGGAGAGGUAGAUGGAAUUUCUGGUGUAGGGGUAAAAUCCGUAGAGAUCAGAAGGAAUACCGAUUGCGAAGGCGAUCUACUGGAACAUUAUUGACGCUGAGAUGCGAAAGCGU